rnacentral:lncRNA from 1 species
GGGACACCGUCUCAACAUGGCCUGACGAGUGGUGCCAUGUAUGCGCCCAGGAUCCGAAUCAGUGAAUCCCUGGGCUGCCGCAGCAGAGCACGAGAACUUAACCACUCAGCCACAGGGCCGGCCCCCAACAACCUGGGAACAUGUAAAGGCUUAUUAUAGAAGAUGAGCCCUGAGCUAACAUGUGCUGCCAAUACUCCUGUUUUUACUGAGGAAGGCUGUCCCUGAGCUAACAUCCAUGCCUAUCUUCCUCUACUUUAUAUGUGGGAUGCCUACCACAGCACGGCUUGCCAAACGGCUGUCAGCCUCAGCACCCCCCCCUCCAACCCACCUAUGGCUUCAAGUUGCAUCUGGACAACACGUGAUGCUGGAAUAGAAUUUUACAACCAGACACAAAGAAGAAGAGAAAAGUCAAGCGCUUAGUGAGAAUCAGUUGCAGGAAGUAAAGAGUGGAAUCGAGAGAUAGCUAGGUAAGUGAUUAUAAAAAUUAUUUCGAGAGAUGCUGGUGACUUGGACAAAGGUGCUAGCAGUGAAGGGGGUGAAAAGUUGUUAUGUUCUAUUAUGUUGUGAAAGAAGUGCCAACAAGAUGCCCUGGUUGAUUGGAACCAAGGUGAGAGAUAAUGAAAGGCAUCAAGAGUGAUUCACAACUUUUGUCCUGAAAAAUUGGAAAAAUGAGUUUUGCAAUUUGAUGAUAUGGGCAAAGCUGGAGGAGAACCCGAAUUGGAGGUAAUGUUGCAGAGUUUAGGCAUUUCUUUUGUUUUCAAGGAGAUUAGCCCUGAGCUAACUACUGCCAACCCUCCUCUUUUUUUGCUGAGGAAGGCUGGCCCUGAGCUAACAUCCGUGCCCAUCUUCGUCUGCUUUAUACUUGGGACGCCUACCACAGCAUGGUGUGCGAAGCAGUGUCAUGUCUGCAACUGGGAUCCGAACCGGUGAACCCCGGGCCGCGGAGAAGAAGAACCUGCGAACUUAAUUGCUGCACCACCGGGCCUGCCCCAGGCAUUUCUUUUAAAGAUUAUUUUUGAGAAGCUAAUAGAAUGUCAAAAUGUGGUUAUCAAAGUUGCAUUGUGAUGUUUGUGCUUCUAGUUCAGAGAUGUGUGCCUUAGAUAAAAAACGGACAGUUGUCUACAUAGGGAUGGUAUUUAAAACUUGGGAUAGACCACCAAAAAAGUUAGUUGUUAUGGGUUAAAUAUGUGCAUUCCCCCAAAAUUCACAUGAUAAAAUCCUACCCCCUAAUGUGAUAGUAUUAGGAGGGGUAGCCUUUGGAAGGUUUUUAGGUCACGGGAGCAGGGCCCUUAUAAAUAGGAUUAAUGCUCUUAUAAAAUGGACCCCAGAGAGCUUUCUCCCCUUUUUUCUGCUGUGUGAGGGUACACGGAGAAGUUGGCAGUCUGCACCUGGAAGAGGGCCCUUCCUAGAACCUGACCAUGCUGGCAUCAUGAUCUUGGAUUUCCAGCCUCUAGAACUAUGAGUAAAUGAAUUUCUGCUCAUGGUAUUUUGUAAAUUCUCAGUCAUUAUAUUUUUAUUGUUUGAAAUGUAUGUAUAAUC